rnacentral:miRNA from 1 species
UGGCAAGAACUCGGCACGGUCC